GAUGAACGCUGGCGGCGUGCCUAAUACAUGCAGGUCGAGCGAACAGACGAGGAGCUUGCUCCUCUGACGUUAGCGGCGGACGGGUGAGUAACACGUGGAUAACCUCCCUAUAAGACUGGGAUAACUUCGGGACACCGGAGCUAAUCCCGGAUAAUAUAUUGAACCGCAUGGUUCAUUAGUGAAAGUCGGUUUUGCUGUCUCUUCUAGCUGGUUCUGGGCCGCAUUAGCUAGUUGGUACGGUAACGGCUUACCACGGCAACGAUGCGUAGCCGACCUGAGAGAGGGAUCGGCCACACGGGAGCGGAGACGGGGUCCAGGGGACUGAGGGACGGAGCAGUAGGGAAUCGUCCGCAAUGGGGGAAAGCCUGGCGGAGCAGGGGGGCGUGAGAUAUAGAGAUCUUCGGUGCGGAAAACUCUGUUUUGAGGUAUGAACAAAUUUGGAAGUAACUGUGCACUGCGUGACGGUAACUAAUCAAAAAGCAACGGCUAACUACGUG
rnacentral:rRNA from 1 species